GGAUAUGACACUGCCUUUCCAAAUAAGUGUUUACAAAAUCAUACACUGAAAGGGAUCUGGGGCCGGUGUGUAUCCAUCCGGUAAUUCCCACAUCGGGUUCUGUGACAUCAGCGUUUGACUUCCCAGCAAGUCAUUCUUCAUGUCUCAUUUCAACGUUGACGGUUCUUUUGACAUCUGACUUUCCCUGGUUGGAGCAAUUCACUGCUUGUCGGGCCCGAAUCUGGCACCGCUGACCUUGUUCUAAUCCUGGCGUCAGGCUGGUCAUAAACACUGCAGCUCUGGAUCUCCGGGGACCGAUCGGGAAAUUCACUGCAAACUUGCGCCCAUGAGAAACCCUCCGUGCUCUCCAGCACAGAGCGAAAGUCAAUGGCCCUCCAGGAUAUUUAUGGAUUUUAUCUGUUCCUUAAAGAGACAUUCAGAAUUGGACAUGGCUUUCCGGAAAGAUUAACUUAAGAUGCCCCCUGGAGCAACGUCAUUUUCUCUCCCAAGUCUUUGCUUCCAGAUGGUUUCUAAAGAUGAAGCUGAGAAGACAUGUCUCCCAAUCCCUACAGUGCGACCAGGGAAGCAAUGAGCGAGUGCUGAAGAUAUGUGUAAGAAUCUAGGUGCUCUGCUAGUACAAGGAACGCACUUCUGGACUAUCGGGGGCCUUUACUUUGUAUUUUUUUAUUUGCCACAAAGAGGCAAAUAAAAAUUCUGCCCAGC
rnacentral:lncRNA from 1 species